rnacentral:rRNA from 1 species
AUUGAACGCUGGCGGCAUGCCUUACACAUGCAAGUCGAACGGUAACAGGUCUUCGGAUGCUGACGAGUGGCGAACGGGUGAGUAAUACAUCGGAACGUGCCCGAUCGUGGGGGAUAACGGAGCGAAAGCUUUGCUAAUACCGCAUACGAUCUACGGAUGAAAGCAGGGGACCGCAAGGCCUUGCGCGGACGGAGCGGCCGAUGGCAGAUUAGGUAGUUGGUGGGAUAAAAGCUUACCAAGCCGACGAUCUGUAGCUGGUCUGAGAGGACGACCAGCCACACUGGGACUGAGACACGGCCCAGACUCCUACGGGAGGCAGCAGUGGGGAAUUUUGGACAAUGGGCGCAAGCCUGAUCCAGCCAUGCCGCGUGGGUGAAGAAGGCCUUCGGGUUGUAAAGCCUUUUGUCCGGAAGAAAGCACGGGAUAAUAACCCUCGUGUGAUGACGGUACCGGAGAAUAAGCACCGGCUAACUUCGUGCCAGCAGCCGCGGUAAGCUA